rnacentral:rRNA from 1 species
ACACGGAGGUCGCAAGCGUUGCUCGGAAUCACUGGGCGUAAAGCGGGUGUAGGCGGUCUAGCAAGUCAGAUGUGAAAGCCCACGGCUCAACCGUGGAAGUGCAUCUGAAACUGCUAGACUUGAGUGCCGGAGAGGGAAGUGGAAUUCCUGGUGUAGGGGUGAAAUCCGUAGAUAUCAGGAGGAACACCGGUGGCGAAGGCGACUUCCUGGACGGCCACUGACGCUGAGACCCGAAAGCGUGGGGAGCAAACAGGAUUAGAAACCCUAGUAGUCC